CUCUUCCUCCUGCUACUGCCAUGUGAGAUAUCUGCUCCUACUUUGCCUUCUUCCAAGAUUGGAAGCUUCCUGAGGCCACCCCAGAGUCAGAAGCUGCUAUGCUUCCUGUACAGCUUGCAGAACCCAAUGUGAGGAAAGUGGAAUGAACUUGGACUUCGAAGGCAAACUAACCUGGAAUCAAAUACUGGCUCUGCUGUUUGCAAGUGUGAUCUUUGGGUGUGCUUCCUAAUCUGUGAGCUUCAACUUCCUCCUCUGUAAACCAAGAUCAAAGACAAACAGUGCAACCUACUUGUCUGGUGCCCAUCCCCUUGGCAGAACACUCCUCUGAAGGAUGACGGUUUGGCUGUGCCAGGGCAGAGGUGCCCACACCAAAUGAGCCUUCAUAGCAACUAUCUGAUGAGGAACUCACUGGCCUACCUUUCCUUAACAGCUGGGGCCUGCCAGCCUUGAAGCAUGACUCCACAAUGCCCCUACCCAAGGCCAUGGAGGUUGCUGCUGAUGAGCAAGCUGUUUUUUAUUUAAUCCAGGUUUCUGCCUGGAGAGGAAGAAGGUAGAGGAGCCAGCGAAGGCAUGUCUGAAUGAUACUUGCAGAAAAAACACUGGUAGCAGUCACAAAACUUUAAAAUU
rnacentral:lncRNA from 1 species